GCGUCCUUAGCUCAACUGGCAGAGCAGCUGGCUCUUAACCAGCGGGUUCGGGGUUCGAGUCCCUGAGGACGCA
rnacentral:tRNA from 1 species